rnacentral:rRNA from 1 species
CGUCUAUAUACGUAUAGCAUAUCAAUAAGCGGAGGAAAAGAAACUAACAAGGAUUCCCUUAGUAACGGCGAGUGAAGCGGGAAGAGCUCAAACUUGAAAUCUUCAAGGUUCUACCUUGACGAAUUGUAGUUUAAAGAAGUGUUUUCUGUUAGAGGAGUAGCAAAAGUUCCUUGGAAUGGGACAUCAUAGAGGGUGAGAAUCCCGUAUUUGGUUAUUCUUUCUAGCUUUGUGAUACGCUUUCAAAGAGUCGGAUUGUUUGGGAAUGCAGUCCAAAAUGGGUGGUAAAUUUCAUCUAAAGCUAAAUAUUGGCGAGAGACCGAUAGCGAACAAGUACCGUGAGGGAAAGAUGAAAAGAACUUUGAAAAGAGAGUUAAACAGUACGUGAAAUUGUCAAAAGGGAAGCGUUUGACACCAGUGUUGUUUUUCCGAAAAUCAAUUAAGAACGUGCUUGAUUUUGUGUUGUAUUGACCUUAUCAGCUUUCUUCACUCUUUUUCGAGUCUUUCUUAAUGCACUUUUCGGUUAACAAGUCAACAUCAAUUUCUUUUGUUGUAAAAGGGUAUUUGGAAGGUGGCUUUCUUUUCGGAGAAAGUGUUUAUAGCCUUAUACCUCUACAAUCGGAGAGAUUGAGGUCUGCAGCGUAGAUCCUUCGGGGCUAGAUACACUUGUGCUAAGUUAUAGCUUUUCAUAGACAACUUGUUGACUAUGUUUAGUCAUGUAGCUUACCCGCUUGUGCUAUUUUACCUACGCUUAGGAUGUUGAGUCAUCACACAUCUCU